ensembl:lncRNA
GGUGGAUAAUAGCAGUGAGCUGGUGACCUUUCAGUAUGUUCUGCAGAGAGCAAUAAUCCUCCAAGCAAACAGUGAAGUUCAAAAGCUUAUUUGAGGAUCUGUAUCUUCACACUGAUGUGAUUUUUGCUGCUUGAUUGAUUGAAUGGACGGUGCAGUUUUUUGCCUGGAUUUUUUGUCUAAGACUGCCAGACACACAAAGGCUUGCCUGUUUCCUCACACAUUUGGCCAGAAGCAGGAGCAGCAGUAUUGGCAGGAGCUUCAUCCAGACAUAAACCACUAGCAGGCAGAAUAUAAAGACUCUGUCUCUGAAGAAUUUUUCCUCCCAUCGUGGCAAAUAACAACUGGUUUGCUGCAAAUGGCUUGCGUACCAAAAGAUGCAGAAGCUCUCAGACCUCAGGUAAAGGAACGCCAACUUAUUGCCAGUGGGAGGUCGAGUGUUUACCUGAGUGUGGAAGCACUCUCCCGGACAUUUCAGAGCAAUCAGGUGAAUGCAGCCAUAUUAUCCUCUGCUGGAAGUAUGAAUAGAGAAACACACUUCUGAUUCAUCAUUGAACACCAUGGAGUUGCUC